rnacentral:rRNA from 1 species
UACGAGGGGGGCGAGCGUUGUUCGGAAUUAUUGGGCGUAAAGGGUGCGUAGGCGGGUUGGUAAGUCUGAUGUGAAAUCUAUGGGCUCAACUCAUAGUCUGCAUCGGAAACUGCCGGGCUUGAGUGUGGGAGAGGUGAGUGGAAUUCCUGGUGUAGCGGUGAAAUGCGUAGAUAUCAGGAGGAACACCUGUGGCGAAAGCGGCUCACUGGACCAUAACUGACGCUGAUGCACGAAAGCUAGGGGAGCAAACAGG